GACGAACGCUGGCGGCAUGCCUAAUACAUGCAAGUCGAGCGAACAGAUAAGGAGCUUGCUCCUUUGAAGUUAGCGGCGGACGGGUGAGUAACACGUGUGUAACCUACCUAUAAGACUGGGAUAACUUCGGGAAACCGGAGCUAAUACCGGAUAACAUUUAGAACCGCAUGGUUCUAAAGUGAAAGAUGGUUUUGCUAUCACUUAUAGAUGGACCUGCGCCGUAUUAGCUAGUUGGUAAGGUAACGGCUUACCAAGGCGACGAUACGUAGCCGACCUGAGAGGGUGAUCGGCCACACUGGAACUGAGACACGGUCCAGACUCCUACGGGAGGCAGCAGUAGGGAAUCUUCCGCAAUGGGCGAAAGCCUGACGGAGCAACGCCGCGUGAGUGAUGAAGGGUUUCGGCUCGUAAAACUCUGUUAUUAGGGAAGAACAAAUGUGUAAGUAACUGUGCGCAUCUUGACGGUACCUAAUCAGAAAGCCACGGCUAACUACGUGCCAGCAGCCGCCGUAA
rnacentral:rRNA from 1 species